GUGCCAUUUUGGCAGCACAUAUACUAAAAUUUGAAUAAUACAGAGAAGAUUAGCAUGGCCCCUGCACAAGAAUUACAUACAAAUUCAUGAAGCAUUUCAUAUUUUU
rnacentral:snRNA from 1 species